rnacentral:lncRNA from 1 species
UCCAUGGCCAGGCACUUUUUAAGAUAAUUUACAUAAAUUUUAAAAGUAGUAUUAGUAAAAAAAGAAUAAUAUUUUAAUUUAUAAAACAUUACUCUCAUUUUAUAAAUUAGAAAACUCAGGCCAGGCGCAAUGGCUCAUGCUUGUAAUCCCAACACCUUGGGAGGCCGAGGUGGGCAGAUCACAAGGUCAGGAGUUCGAGACCAGCCUGACUAAACUGUUUUUAGUUUCUACUAAAAAUACAAAAAUUAGCCAGGCAUGAUAUCAUGCGUGCCUGUAGUCCCAGCUACUCGGGAAAAGAAAAAGAAAAAAGAGAGAAAAAAAAAGAAAACUGAGGCACAGAGAGAUUCAGUACCUUGCCCAAGAGUGCCCAAGUAUUUGUGUACAUGACUGAGUCAGGCUGUGUGACUCCAAGGUGAGUAACCUAUGCCAGUUACUGGGAAUGGGCUGAAAGGGUUUGCAAAGGAAGCUGAAGACCAUUCUCACCCUGCCCUGGGGGAAUCAUGGAAUGGUGCCAAAUAGAAAAGGCAAGUUUAGGCUGUUCUAGGUUUCCCCUUCCAGAAAUGACGUUGGCCUAAAACCAUGGUCGUCAAAUGUUUUUGUUCUUAUAUUUUGUAAGAGACUUGAAAAACCAUGUACCCCCUUGUACGUUUUAAAGUUAGCAACUGACAUUUUUCAUUGUAAGUUUAAAGAGCUGUAAGAUAGAAUUACUGGCUUUUUGUGAUUAAUAUAAUAAAACUAUGAAAGCACUUUGUUUUGUUUUUUGGAGAAGGAGUCUCACUCUGUUGCCUAGGCUGGAGUGCAAUGGCAUGAUCUCGGCUCACCGCAACCUCCGCCUCCCAGGUUCAAGCGAUUCUCCUGCCUCAGCUUCCUGGCUAAUUUUUGUAUUUUUAGUAGAGACGGGGUUCCACCUGGCUGGCCAGGCUGGUCUUGAACUCCUGACCUCAGGCGAUCUGCCCGCCUCGACCUCCCAAAGUGCUGGGAUUACAGGCUUGAGUCACUGAGCCCAGCCGAAAGCACCCUUUUAAAGGAAUCUACAGGAAUAUAAAUAUAGUAAUUUGAUAUUACCAUCAUCAAUUUAGAAAAUUCAUGACUACACUUUUUUUUUUAAAUUUUUAUCUUUAUAUAUUUAUUUGAGACAAGGUCUUGCUCUGUUGUCCAGCCUAGAGAGCAGUGGCACAUCACAGCUCACUGCAGUCUCAAACUUCUGGGCUCAAGCCAUCCUCCCAGCUCUCAUAUCACACUCUUUAAUUUUACAUUAUUUCUUUUUUUUUUUUUUGAAAUCAUAUUUUGAAUCCAUUUCUAUGUAAUCUUGUACUAAUAUAAUUAGUGAUUAAAAACAUUUUAUGGCCGGGCACAGUGACUCGUGCCUGUAAUCUCAACACUUUGAGAGGCCGAGGUGGGCAGACCACCUGAGAUCGGGAGUUCGAGACCAGCCUGACCAACAUGGAGAAACCCCGUCUCUACUAAAAAUACAAAAUUAGCCGGGCAUGGUGGUGCAUUCCUGUAAUCCCAGCUACUCGGGAGGCUGAGGCAGGAGAAUCGCUUGAACCCAGGAGGCGGAGGUUGCAGUGAGCCGAGAUCGUGCCAUCGCACUCCAGCCUGGGGGACAAGAGUGAGACUUCGUCUCAAAAAAAAAAAUUUGGAAUUGUCCCUUUGAUGCCUUACAUGCUUUUUUCACCCCAGAGUAAUGCAUCAUUUGUCAGGAUUAGGGAAGAGUAAGAGAUAAACUUUUUUUGAUAAAGUGAGAAGAGGGCAAUUGAGAAAAUGAGAUGGGAAAAGAAAAUCAGGGCUGCAGAUGUCCUCUGGGGCGCAUCAAAUUGAGGAUCUAGAAAUUGAUUUCUUUGAAACUAACCACUGCCCUGUACUCCUUGGAAAGUAUUUACAUACCUACCCUAACCACUACUGGCAGCCCUAAUGAUCUCCAUGUUAAAUGUGUUUCUCCCAGCCACACCUGCCCAGAGGGAGAAACUGGGUCAUGGUAGCAGUAACCAAGCAGUGCUCUUUGUUCCUUACCCCACCAGAUUUACACAACCUAUAACCCUCUCAGUGAUCUUCUGAGUCAUUCUGGAGUCUCUGGGGGUAGAUUUCAUAUGCUCACUAAUUGGUCUUCUUGGCCUCUUGGUGGUUUCUGCUCAUUUCAUUCAUCUCCUAUAGCUUGGCACAGUAGAACUGCUAGCCUCUUAGCUGCCAGAGCCAAACAGACUGUUCCAUGUGAGAAAACCAACCUCCAGAUUCCUGGGGCGUUUCUGGUGUAGUGACCUUCCAGAGGGAAAUCUACCCCUACUCCUAUCCAGUACUCUUCCCUGCCAUGAGGGGAUUUAGAAGGGAAAGCACUCCCUGCUGACAGUUCUUACAGGGGUUUGUGAAACAAAUAAUCCCAUUUGGUCACCCUUUUGGUUGAGAAGUGGUGAUAAAUGCUCGAAGUGGUCUGAAGUGCCAGGUGCUAUAAAAGAACAGAAAGGGGCCUGUGAUCCCUGACUGCACUUUAUAUUUCAGCAUUACCCACUAUUUUUUCAUAUCCCACGACUCAAGAUUCCCUCUCAAGUCUUUGCUCUUUGAUCUCCUUGAUGAACUCACAUUCACCCUUCAAAUCUCAUCUCAAUCCCUUCUUUCAGGAUGUGUUCCCAUUCCGCUAAUGCCCUUGAGGGUUUUCUGCUAUCUCCAUGCUUUUACUACAUUUUGGUUUAUUUGCUCUUACUAUAUAUUUUCUUGUUAGUCUUUGUAUCCAGUUAAACUAUGGGCUCCUGAGGGUGUUGGGACUCAGGAGAUACCACAUUUAAGUAUGACUGUAGGAGACAGAAAUAUGCCACCCCAAAACAUGCCUUUUUGGCAUAUUAAUAAUUUCCGGCUGGUUAUUUUGAGAAAUUGCAGACAUAGGAGUAGCUUUGGAAAGUUACUCUUGUAAGAGAAAUGUGCAGUUGACCCUUGAACAACAUGGGUUUGAACUGCACAGGUCCACUUAUACUCAGAUUUUUUCUUUUUUUUGAGACAAAGUCUCACUCUGUCACCCAGGCUGGAGUGCAGUGGCACGAUCUUGGCUCACUGCAACCUCCACUUCCUGGGUUCAAGCGAUUAUCCUGCCUCAGCCUCCUGAGUAGCUGGGAUUACUGGUAUGCACCACUACACUGGCUAAUUUUUUU